rnacentral:rRNA from 1 species
GACGAACGCUGGCGGCGUGCUUAACACAUGCAAGUCGAACGGAAAGGCCCGGCGUUUGUUGGGUGCUCGAUUGGCGAACGGGGGAGUAACACGUGAGUAACCUGCCCUUGACUGUGGGAUAACUUCAGGAAACUGGGGCGAAUACCGGAUAUGAUCUCCUGCUGCAUGGUGGGGGUUGGAAAGUUUCGGCGGUUGGGGAUGGACUCGCGGCUUAUCAGCUUGCUGGGGGGGUAGUGGCUUACCAAGGCUUUGACGGGUAGCCGGCCUGAGAGGGUGACCGGCCACCUUGGGACUGCGAGAGGCCCCAGAAUCCUACGGGAGGCAGCAGUGGGGAAUCUUGCGCAACGGGCCGACGUCUGAUACAGAAACCCCCCGUGCGGGAUGCCCGCCUUCGGGUUGUAAACAUAUUUCGCCUGUGCCGAAGAGUGCGUGACGGUACUGAGUCAAGAAGCACCGGCUAACUACGUG